rnacentral:rRNA from 1 species
CCUACGGGUGGCAGCAGUGGGGAAUAUUGGACAAUGGGCGAAAGCCUGAUCCAGCCAUGCCGCGUGUGUGAAGAAGGCCUUCGGGUUGUAAAGCACUUUCAGUGGGGAAGAAAGCCUUGGGGCUAAUACCCUCGAGGAAGGACAUCACCCACAGAAGAAGCACCGGCUAACUCCGUGCCAGCAGCCGCGGUAAUACGGAGGGUGCGAGCGUUAAUCGGAAUUACUGGGCGUAAAGCGCGCGUAGGCGGUCUGAUAAGCCGGUUGUGAAAGCCCCGGGCUCAACCUGGGAACGGCAUCCGGAACUGUCAGGCUAGAGUGCAGUAGAGGAAGGUAGAAUUCCCGGUGUAGCGGUGAAAUGCGUAGAGAUCGGGAGGAAUACCAGUGGCGAAGGCGGCCUUCUGGACUGACACUGACGCUGAGGUGCGAAAGCGUGGGUAGCAAACAGGAUUAGAUACCCUAGUAGUC